UUCCGCGCCGGCCGUAAUACAUGCAGUCGAGCGGACCGAACGGGAGCUUGCUUCUGUUCGGUUAGCGGCGGACGGGUGAGUAACACGUGGGUAACCUGCCCGUAAGACCGGGAUAACUCCGGGAAACCGGGGCUAAUACCGGAUAACACCGAAGACCGCAUGGUCUUUGGUUGAAAGGUGGCUUUUGCUACCACUUACGGAUGGGCCCGCGGCGCAUUAGCUAGUUGGUGAGGUAACGGCUCACCAAGGCGACGAUGCGUAGCCGGCCUGAGAGGGUGACCGGCCACACUGGGACUGAGACACGGCCCAGACUCCUACGGGAGGCAGCAGUAGGGAAUCUUCCGCAAUGGACGAAAGUCUGACGGAGCGACGCCGCGUGAGCGAAGAAGGUCUUCGGAUCGUAAAGCUCUGUUGUUAGGGAAGAAGAAGUACCGUUCGAAUAGGGCGGUACGGUGACGGUACCUAACGAGAAAGCCCCGGCUAACUACGUGCCAGCAGCCGCGGUAAUACGUAGGGGGCGAGCGUUGUCCGGAAUUAUUGGGCGUAAAGCGCGCGCAGGCGGUCCCUUAAGUCUGAUGUGAAAGCCCACGGCUCACCCGUGGAGGGUCAUUGGAAACUGGGGGACUUGAGUGCAGAAGAGGAGAGCGGAAUUCCACGUGUAGCGGUGAAAUGCGUAGAGAUGUGGAGGAACACCAGUGGCGAAAGCGGCUCUCUGGUCUGUAACUGACGCUGAGGCGCGAAAGCGUGGGGAGCAAACAGGAUUAGAUACCCUGGUAGUCCACGCCGUAAACGAUGAGUGGCUAAGGUUGUUA
rnacentral:rRNA from 1 species